AAAGCGUCUGUAGGUGGAUUGUUAAGUCUUGUAUGAAAGACCGAGGCUCAACCUCGUGUUUGUACGGGAAACUGGCGAUCUAGAAUGAGGGAGAGGCAAGCAGAAUUAUGAGAGUAGGGGUGCAAUCCGUAGAUACUCAUAAGAAUACCAAAAGCGAAGGCAGCUUGCUGGAACUCUAUUGACACUGAGAGACGAAAGCGUGGGGAGCGAAAAGGAUUAGAUACCCUUGUAGUCCACGCCCUAAACGAUGGUAGCUAAGUGUCGGGCCUUGUGCUCGGUGCUGAAGCAAACGCAUUAAGCUACCCACCUGAGGAGUACGGCCGCAAGGUUAAAACUCAAAUGAAUAGACGGGGACCCACACAAGCAGUGGAUCAUGUGGUUUAAUUCGACAGUAAACGAGGAACCUUACCCAGGCUUGACAUCCUAGGAAUCCCACAGAAAUGAGGGAGUGCCCGCAAGGGAACCUAGAGACAGGUGCUGCAUGGUUGUCGUCAGCUCGUGCCUUGAGGUGUUCGGUUAAGUCCGUUAACGAGCGCAACCCACGUCGUUAGUUACUAUGUCUAACGAGACUGCCCGAGUUAAUCGGGAGGAAGGUGUGGAUGACGUCAAAUCAGCAUGGCCCUUAUGCCUGGGGCCACACACAUGAUACAAUGGUCGGUACAAUGAGCUGCGAAGGGGUGACCCGGAGCUAAUCUCAUCAAAGCCGAUCUCAGUCCAGAUUGAGGUCUGCAACUCGACCUCAUGAAGUUGGAAU
rnacentral:rRNA from 1 species